CUUAAACUAACAAACUCAAUGUCUGGGCGCUCUUGUCGAGUAUCUCAGACUAUGCCAUGUUAUUUGUAGAUGAUUUAGUGGAACCAGUUGGACGAUUGUAUGGACUGUAGGCUACAAUGCUGUUUUCUCAAAGAAAAAAACUGAAGGUGACGCUGCUGCAUCUCUUCGGGGGUGUUACAGUACCACUACUUCCUGUGGCUAUGUUCACAAGCGUCGAUGGCUACACCUAACAACAGUUGUGUGGAAAUUGAGUAACUCAAGUACUCUGCUCAGCGCAGCAUUCAGCCCAACCUGAGACUCGGCAGGUGAAAGGCAUCGUGGGAACGGUUUUCUAUUUUCCAGAAAGGGUGUUGAACUCUGGCAAUUUACUUAAUCAACAUUUUGGCAGUAUUGCACAGGUGUACCCUGUUAAACAAAGUAAUACCAACCUUGAGAAGAGAUUUCAAAACCGCCUUCACUGGAACAAUGUUACUGGAGUCUUCACUUUGUCAGACCUACAAAUAGAUGAUUCUGGGGUUUAUACUGUGGAGAAUACAGAUGAAGGGAAGACGACACGUAUAUUUCAGCUUACUGUGUACUAUGUUCUGUCCAAACCUCAGGUGACGGUCCAUGAUAAAAUCUCCUGUAGCGUGGUGUGUUCUGUGGAGAACGGGAGAGAGGUGACCCUGUCCUGGUACAAAGGAGGGGAGAUACUCAACCAGACCAGCAGCCCUGACCACAACAUCACCCUCUCUCUACCUCUCAAGGUGGAUGAACAGAACAGAGACUCUUACAGAUGUGAGGCUGCCAACCCAGCCAGCAAUGAGACAGCUGUUGUUCCACAUUCCUGUAUAGAGAGUGAUCCCUCUAAGGUGAAAGAUGGUGAUGAGAGGACUCGAGAUUGUCUUAUUAUUGCUGUAAUCUGUGUUUUGGUGGCUUCAGUAGUUGUUGGUUUUGCAAUAUAUCUGAAGAAGAGGAGAAACGGACACUCACAUACAGAUUCACCUGAAAGAGAGCAAGAUGAUGUUCAGUAUGCAGAGAUAACUCACAUUAAACCAGCAGAAAACCAGGAGGAGCGAACAGGUAUACCAGAACUGGAGUCACUUAAAGACAACCCUAACCUGACAGUUUAUUAUACACUCCAGUUACAUCACAUGCCUGCCAGCAAGGAUGUUGACACUGCAUGAAGGUUGAGAGAGAACAGGAAGUUAAUGAGAGGGUGACAAGAUAAUUCACAUCCAAGAGAAGGCGUUAUAUCCUAAAGAGGACGUUAAGACAAAAUUAUAGUCAAUAUUCAUUUUAGAAAACUUCAUGGAGACACAGUUGUUCCUGGAGACAAUUACCAUUUAACCAAUGCGCUGUUGUCAUUUCAGUCAUUUCAGACUUCCUUUGUUGGUCAUUCUCACUGUCAUUUGUUGAAUUGAGCCUUGAUGAGAUUAACCGAUGCAGACAAAUUAAAUAACUAUGCCUAGGGUUAUUAGUAGGAUGAUCCCUCUUUUCAAGUGCCCAUUGUCCCAAUGUAUAGGUUAAAACAAAUGGAACCUCUGUUAAUACAAUUCACUAGUGUGUUUGCUACGCUACUGCUGUGCCAAAGCUUCUUUUCAGUUCUGUCUGUUCUGUUGUUUAAAUGUAGGUGCCUCCCCUGUAUCGUUUUAUAGCUGGUCAUUGUUUAUCUUGCCAGUGGAUAGCAGCUGUGUACAUAAAAAGCAGAUGUUUGGUGAGAUAAAGCCGCCUGCUGCUCAGCAUAAUGGCUAUUAGGCUACGUUGGAAACCACCAUAUAGAUUCUGUUGAAACACUUCUGAGUGGUAGAUCUUGAUUUGCCUUUUGACUCAGAAAGUGUUCUUGGUUGACAUUUUACUCUCACAAAAUGCAAUCGUGAUUAAGUGUAGUUCAGAUCUUGCUUUGACAACAACUGUGUUCACGCAGUUUGAAUGUACCAGAGUCAAAGUUUAGUUUAUUAUGAUGGACCACUUAUUGCUUGUCCUUAUCUACACAGUAUUUAGCUCAACAGGAUAUCCUGUUGGGGCUAGGGGGCACAAGGAGUUCCCUAAAGGGAACACUCCCUCCCAUUCAGCUGAAAAAAAUAUUCUUUAGAAAUAUUUAACUUUCACACAUUAACAAGUCCAAUACAGCAAAUGAAAGAUAAACAUCUUGUUAAUCUACCCAUCGUGUCCGAUUUUUCAAAUGUUUUACAGUGAAAACACAACAUUUAUUUAUGUUAGAUGACCACCAAAUUGAAAAACACACAGAGCGAUAUUUCACAGUCACAAAAGCAUGAAUAUAGAUAAAAUGAAUCACUAACCUUUGAUAAUCUCCAUCAUGACACUCAUAGGACAUCAUGUUAAACAUGUAUUGUGUGUUUUGUUCGAUAAUGUGCAUAUAUAUACACUGCUCA